rnacentral:rRNA from 1 species
AUUGAACGCUGGCGGCAGGCCUAACACAUGCAAGUCGAACGAGGGGCGGACGGGUGAGUAAUGUCUGGGAAACUGCCCGAUGGAGGGGGAUAACUACUGGAAACGGUAGCUACUACCGCAUACCAUCGGAUGUGCCCAGAUGGGAUUAGCUAGUAGGUGGGGUAACGGCUCACCUAGGCGACGAUCCCUAGCUGGUCUGAGAGGAUGACCAGCCACACUGGAACUGAGACACGGCCCAGACUCCUACGGGAGGCAGCAGUGGGGAAUAUUGCACAAUGGGCGCAAGCCUGAUGCAGCCAUGCCGCGUGUAUGAAGAAGGCCUUCGGGUUGUAAAGUACUUUCAGCGAGGAAGCGUUACUCGCAGAAGAAGCACCGGCUAACUCCGUGCCAGCAGCCGCGGUAAUAC